UGACGAGCGGCGGACGGGUGAGUAAUGUCUGGGAAACUGCCUGAUGGAGGGGGAUAACUACUGGAAACGGUAGCUAAUACCGCAUAAUGUCGCAAGACCAAAGUGGGGGACCUUCGGGCCUCAUGCCAUCAGAUGUGCCCAGAUGGGAUUAGCUAGUAGGUGGGGUAACGGCUCACCUAGGCGACGAUCCCUAGCUGGUCUGAGAGGAUGACCAGCCACACUGGAACUGAGACACGGUCCAGACUCCUACGGGAGGCAGCAGUGGGGAAUAUUGCACAAUGGGCGCAAGCCUGAUGCAGCCAUGCCGCGUGUGUGAAGAAGGCCUUCGGGUUGUAAAGCA
rnacentral:rRNA from 1 species